rnacentral:rRNA from 1 species
AUUGAACGCUGGCGGCAUGCUUUACACAUGCAAGUCGAACGGUAACAGGGUGCUUGCACCGCUGACGAGUGGCGAACGGGUGAGUAAUGCGUCGGAACGUGCCGAGUAGUGGGGGAUAACGCAGCGAAAGUUGUGCUAAUACCGCAUACGUACUGAGGUGGAAAGUGGGGGAUCUUCGGGCCUCACGCUAUUCGAGCGGCCGACGUCUGAUUAGCUAGUAGGUGAGGUAAAGGCUCACCUAGGCGACGAUCAGUAGCGGGUCUGAGAGGAUGAUCCGCCACACUGGGACUGAGACACGGCCCAGACUCCUACGGGAGGCAGCAGUGGGGAAUUUUGGACAAUGGGCGAAAGCCUGAUCCAGCCAUGCCGCGUGUCUGAAGAAGGCCUUCGGGUUGUAAAGGACUUUUGCCAGGGAGGAAAUCCCUAGUGCUAAUAACACUGGGGGAUGACAGUACCUGAAGAAUAAGCACCGGCUAACUACGUGCCAGCCGCCGCCGUAACAC